rnacentral:rRNA from 1 species
AGCGAACGCUGGCGGCAGGCCUAACACAUGCAAGUCAAACGAAGCCUUCGGGCUUAGUGGCGGACGGGUGAGUAACACGUGGGAACGUACCUUUUGGUUCGGAACAACUCAGGGAAACUUGAGCUAAUACCGGAUGAGCCCUUAGGGGGAAAGAUUUAUCGCCGAAAGAGCGGCCCGCGUUAGAUUAGCUAGUUGGUGAGGUAAAGGCUCACCAAGGCAACGAUCUAUAGCUGGUCUGAGAGGAUGAUCAGCCAAACUGGGACUGAGACACGGCCCAGACUCCUACGGGAGGCAGCAGUGGGGAAUCUUGCGCAAUGGGCGAAAGCCUGACGCAGCCAUGCCGCGUGAAUGAUGAAGGUCUUAGGAUUGUAAAAUUCUUUUACCAGGGACGAUAAUGACGGUACCUGGAGAAAAAGCCCCGGCUAACUUCGUGCCAGCAGCCGCCGUAACAC